UGAGAUAGCGCCGGAAGGGUGAGGGGAA
rnacentral:piRNA from 1 species